rnacentral:rRNA from 1 species
AACGAACGCUGGCGGCAUGCCUAACACAUGCAAGUCGAACGAAGCCUUCGGGCUUAGUGGCGCACGGGUGCGUAACGCGUGGGAAUCUGCCCCUUGCUUCGGAAUAACAGUUAGAAAUGACUGCUAAUACCGGAUGAAGUCUUCGGACCAAAGAUUUAUCGGCAAGGGAUGAGCCCGCGUAGGAUUACGUAGUUGGUGGGGUAAAGGCCUACCAAGGCGACGAUCCUUAGCUGGUCUGAGAGGAUGAUCAGCCACACUGGGACUGAGACACGGCCCAGACUCCUACGGGAGGCAGCAGUGGGGAAUAUUGGACAGUGGACGCAAGUCUGAUCCAGCAAUGCCGCGUGAGUGAUGAAGGCCUUAAGGUUGUAAAGCUCUUUUACCAGGGAUGAUAAUGACAGUACCUGGAGAAUAAGCUCCGGCUAACUCCGUG